rnacentral:lncRNA from 1 species
GCUAUUGCUUAUGGGUGGAGAGCAGAAGACAACUGCUAGGAGUCAGUUCUUUCCUUCCACUGUGUAGGUCCUUUUGAUCAUCAAACUUGGUAGCAGUUUCCUUUACCUACCAAAUCAUCUAACAGGCCCUAAAAGACCAUUCUUAAUCCUAAAAGCCAUUGGAGACAGGAGGCAAGAUGGAGGUGGUAGAGACACUUUCAGAUGCUAAAAGAGAAGGUGAAGGCAACAGGAAUGAUGUGCACUUUUCUGCCCUGCAGGAUCUUCCACUGGGUAUCAGAUGUAUGCUAACGAAGCUGGAAGACCAUGAUAACACAAACCUUCUACAGCCCAUUUGCUGCGAGACUCCUUCAGGGAAACAGAGGACCUGCAGAGUAGUAACCCACACAUUUUGAGGGAUGAAUGAUGGACAGGUAGCACCGGGGCAGGAGCUCUCCAGCUGUCAGGGAGUACUAAGUGAGGAGCAACCUACUUUCAGGGAGGAUCAUGUGAAGAGCAACCUGUUGUUAUUGAGCACCGUGAGAGGAAGAUCCAGGAGGUCAGUGCAAGAGUCAAUGAGCACUCUACAGAGCACUGCAGCUAUCAGUGAGAACUGUGUGAGGAGCCUGGACAUCACUGAUGCAACAUUCAGAGAACACUGCCGCCUGUCGAGCACCCCUGCAGUCAGUGAGCACCCUCUGUGGAGCACAAUUCUCUCAACAAUGGUGGCAGCCUGGAGGCCCAGGAGGAUGGGGCCCGCGCUGGUGACUGGAAUGGGGUCUACCGGGGAGGCAGCGGCAGUGGCAGCUGGGAGGGCGGAGUGCGCGCACCUGGUAUCUUCCGGUGGCCCACCGUGCUGGAGGUAGGACUGGUCAUCGAGGAGCCCACCAGCCUCGUGGACCUGCUCCCCAUCCUAAAUUACGUGUGCCGCGGGAACCUCCCCCAGGACAGAGUGACUGAUGGCAGGAAUCUGAUGCGGCUGCUGGAGGGUUGUGCAGCGCUCAGACCAUGAGUUCCUGUUCCACUACUGUGGCCUUUUCCUACACAGCGUCCGGUGGCACUAGAAGGAUUGAGACACUAUUUUCUAAUUAUUCUAAACUAAUAGAAUUUUAUUUUCUCAAUAUAUUAUUUAUUAACGUUUCUUCAGCUAUAAAAUGGUAGAAUUAUUGAGAUAUAUUUACAUGCUAUAAAUAAGUUACAUGUAAAUAAACAUAUGAUAUAUAAAUAAUAAUGUGUCCUU